GACAGAGGGUGCAAACGUUGCUCGGAAUUACUGGGCGUAAAGCGCGUGUAGGCGGUUCCGCCAGUCUGGUGUGAAAGCCCAGGGCUCAACCCUGGAAGCGCAUUGGAUACUACGGAGCUUGAGUCCUGAAGAGGCGAGUGGAAUUCCUGGUGUAGCGGUGGAAUGCGCAGAUAUCAGGAGGAACACCAAUAGCGAAGGCAGCUCGCUGGGACGUUACUGACACUGAGGCGCGAAAGCGUGGGGAGCGAACAGG
rnacentral:rRNA from 1 species